rnacentral:rRNA from 1 species
UGGGGAAUAUUGCACAAUGGGGGAAACCCUGAUGCAGCGACGCCGCGUGAGCGAAGAAGAUCUUCGGAUUGUAAAGCUCUGUCUUAGGGGACGAUAAUGACGGUACCCUGAGAGGAAGUCACGGCUAACUACGUGCCAGCAGCCGCGGUAAUACGUAGGUGGCAAGCGUUGUCCGGAAUUACUGGGUGUAAAGGGAGCGCAGGCGGGUAAGCAAGUUGGAAGUGAAACUCAUGGGCUCAACCCAUGACCUGCUUUCAAAACUGUUUAUCUUGAGUGGUGUAGAGGUAGGCGGAAUUCCCGGUGUAGCGGUGGAAUGCGUAGAUAUCGGGAGGAACACCAGUGGCGAAGGCGGCCUACUGGGCACUAACUGACGCUGAGGCUCGAAAGCAUGGGUAGCAAACAGGAUUAGAUACCCCAGU